rnacentral:rRNA from 1 species
UACGAGGGGGGCGAGCGUUGUUCGGAAUUAUUGGGCGUAAAGGGUGCGUAGGCGGCCUGACAAGUCUGAUGUGAAAUCCCUGGGCUCAACCCAGGGCCUGCAUCGGAAACUGUCGGGCUUGAGUAUGGGAGAGGUGAGUGGAAUUUCCGGUGUAGCGGUGAAAUGCGUAGAUAUCGGGAAGGAACACCUGUGGCGAAAGCGGCUCACUGGACCAUACUGACGCUGAGGCACGAAAGCUAGGGGAGCAAACAGGAUUAGAAACCCCACG